rnacentral:rRNA from 1 species
CCUACGGGUGGCAGCAGUAGGGAAUCUUCCACAAUGGGGGAAACCCUGAUGCAGCGACGCCGCGUGAGUGAAGAAGUAUUUCGGUAUGUAAAGCUCUAUCAGCAGGGAAGAAAGUGACGGUACCUGACUAAGAAGCCCCGGUUAACUACGUGCCAGCAGCCGCGGUAAUACGUAGGGGGCAAGCGUUAGCCGGAUUUACGGGGGGUAAAGGGAGCGUAGACGGCGCGGCAAGUCUGAAGUGAAAGGCAGGGGCUUAACCCCUGAAUGGCUUUGGAACCUGCCAUGUUAGAGUGCUGGAGAGGUAAGUGGAAUUCCUAGUGUAGCGGUGAAAUGGGUAGAUAGUAGGAGGAACACCAGUGGCGAAGGCGGCUUACUGGACAGUAACUGACGUUGAGGUUCGAAAGCGUGGGGAGCAAACAGGAUUAGAUACCCUAGUAUC